GCAAGUCGAGCGCGAACGUUCUUUCGGGAAUUAUUAGAGCGGCGGACGGGUGAGUAACGCGUGGGAAUUUGCCCAGUAGUGGGGGACAACCAGAGGAAACGCUGGCUAAUCUUGUAUACGUCCUAUGGGAGAAAGGUGGCCUCUAUUUAUAAGCUAUCGCUAUUGGAGAAGCCCGCGUUAGAUUAGCUAGUAGGUGAGGUAAAGGCUCACCUAGGCGACGAUCUAUAGCGGGUCUGAGAGGAUGAUC
rnacentral:rRNA from 1 species